rnacentral:tRNA from 1 species
GAGGGUAUAGCUCAGUGGUAGAGCGUAUACUUAGCAUGCAUGAGGUCCUCAGUUCAAUCCCCAGUACCUACA